UCGCACGAGAACGCUCCGGCUUCGGCCGGGGCAAGUACAGUGGCGGACGGGUGCGUAUCGCGUAGAUAACCUGCCCUCAGGCGCGGGACAAUCACGGGAAACCGUGGCUAAUACCGCACGUCGUCUGGGCCCCGCAUGGGGACCAGAUGAAAGCUUGGGGUUACCCAGGCGCCUUGGGAUGGGUCUGCGUUGGAUUAGCUUGUUGGUGAGGCAACGGCUCACCAAGGCGACGAUCCAUAGCUGGUCUGAGAGGACGAUCAGCCACACUGGGACUGAGACACGGCCCAGACUCCUACGGGAGGCAGCAGUGGGGAAUCUUGCACAAUGGGGUCACCCCUGAUGCAGCCAUGCCGCGUGGAGGAAGACACCCCUAUGGGGCGUAAACUCCUUUUCUGAACGAAGAAACCCCUGUAGGUUCAGGGCGCGACGGUAGUUCAGGAAUAAGCACCGGCUAACUCCGUGCCAGCAGCCGCGGUAAUACGGAGGGUGCAAGCGUUGUCCGGAAUCACUGGGUGUAAAGGGUGUGCAGGCGGGGCAACAAGUCGGAUGUGAAACCCCAUGGCUCAACCAUGGAGGUGCAUUCGAAACUGUUGCUCUUGGGUCCCGGGGAGGCUGUCGGAAUUCGUGGUGUAGCGGUGAAAUGCGUAGAUAUCACGAGGAACACCAGAGGCGAAAGCGGGCAGCUGGACGGGUACUGACGCUCAGGCACGAAAGCGUGGGGAGCAAACAGGAUUAGAUACCC
rnacentral:rRNA from 1 species